GAUGAACGCUGGCGGCGUGCCUAAUACAUGCAAGUCGAGCGAAUGGAUUAAGAGCUUGCUCUUAUGAAGUUAGCGGCGGACGGGUGAGUAACACGUGGGUAACCUGCCCAUAAGACUGGGAUAACUCCGGGAAACCGGGGCUAAUACCGGAUAACAUUUUGAACCGCAUGGUUCGAACUUGAAAGGCGGCUUCGGCUGUCACUUAUGGAUGGACCCGCGUCGCAUUAGCUAGUUGGCGAGGUAACGGCUCACCAAGGCAACGAUGCGUAGCCGACCGGAGAGGGUGAUCGGCCACACUGGGACUGAGACACGGCCCAGACUCCUACGGGAGGCAGCAGUAGGGAAUCUUCCGCAAUGGACGAAAGUCUGACGGAGCAACGCCGCGUGAGUGAUGAAGGCUUUCGGGUCGUAAAACUCUGUUGUUAGGGAAGAACAAGUGCUAGUUGAAUAAGCUGGCACCUUGACGGUACCUAACCAGAAAGCCACGGCUAACUACGUGCCAGCAGCCGCGGUAA
rnacentral:rRNA from 1 species